CCCUGUGUGGUGAAAACAGUUAACAAGCUCGGCUCCUAACCAAAAGGCUGGAGGUUAGAGUCCUCCCAGAGGUG
rnacentral:tRNA from 1 species